rnacentral:rRNA from 1 species
UCGAACGAGUUCUCGUUGAUGAUCGGUGCUUGCACCGAGAUUCAACAUGGAACGUGUGGCGGACGGGUGAGUAACACGUGGGUAACCUGCCCUUCAGUGGGGGAUAACAUUUGGAAACAGAUGCUAAUACCGCAUAGAUCCAAGAACCGCAUGGUUCUUGGCUGAAAGAUGGCGCAAGCUAUCGCUUUUGGAUGGACCCGCGGCGUAUUAGCUAGUUGGUGAGGUAACGGCUCACCAAGGCGAUGAUACGUAGCCGAACUGAGAGGUUGAUCGGCCACAUUGGGACUGAGACACGGCCCAAACUCCUACGGGAGGCAGCAGUAGGGAAUCUUCCACAAUGGACGCAAGUCUGAUGGAGCAACGCCGCGUGAGUGAAGAAGGCUUUCGGGUCGUAAAACUCUGUUGUUGGAGAAGAAUGGUCGGCAGAGUAACUGUUGUCGGCGUGACGGUAUCCAACCAGAAAGCCACGGCUAACUACGUGCCAGCAGCCGCGGUAAUACGUAGGUGGCAAGCGUUAUCCGGAUUUAUUGGGCGUAAAGCGAGCGCAGGCGGUUUUUUAAGUCUGAUGUGAAAGCCCUCGGCUUAACCGAGGAAGCGCAUCGGAAACUGGGAAACUUGAGUGCAGAAGAGGACAGUGGAACUCCAUGUGUAGCGGUGAAAUGCGUAGAUAUAUGGAAGAACACCAGUGGCGAAGGCGGCUGUCUGGUCUGUAACUGACGCUGAGGCUCGAAAGCAUGGGUAGCGAACAGGAUUAGAUACCCUGGUAGUCCAUGCCGUAAACGAUGAAUGCUAGGUGUUGGAGGGUUUCCGCCCUUCAGUGCCGCAGCUAACGCAUUAAGCAUUCCGCC